AUGAACGUUGGCGGCGUGGAUUAGGCAUGCAAGUCGAGCGAGAAACCAAUUAGCUUGCUAAGAGGUGGACAGCGGCGAAAGGGAGAGUAACGCGUGGUUACGUGCCCUCGGGACCGGGAUAGUGUUGGGAAACUGGCAGUAAUACCGGAUAACAUCUAUGGAUCAAAUGGUGAGAUUCCGCCCGAGGAUCGGACCGCGUACUAUUAGCUUGUUGGCGGGGUAAUGGCCCACCAAGGCUGCGAUGGUUACCGGGUGUGAGAGCAUGGCCCGGCUCACUGGGACUGAGACACUGCCCAGACAUCUACGGAUGGCUGCAGUCGAGAAUCUUCGGCAAUGGACGAAAGUCUGACCGAGCGACGCCGCGUGCGGGAUGAAGGCCCUCGGGUUGUAAACCGCUGUCAGUUGGGAGGAAAUUCAUGGGGGUUCUCCCCUGUGAUUGACCGAGCUUCAGAGGAAGGACGGGCUAAGUUCGUG
rnacentral:rRNA from 1 species